GUCUGGGCCGCCGCGCGCCGCCCCCGCGCCCGCCAUGGCGCCCGCCCUGUCACGUGCGCCCGCGGCCCCGCCCCGCGCCCGGGGGAGCAGGCGGAGGGGCCCGGGGUCAUUGAGGGGCUUGUCAGGAAAAUACAGCGCAGGGACCGCGAAGUGCGGUCCGGUUCCCUUCCCCUUCUUCCCUUGUUCCUCCUUUGCCAUCAUGCUGAGCGCCAAAGCACAGGGCUACAAACAGAACAUCUCCUGGCUUGCCACCCCCUUUGGUAGCUGAGGGUGGAGUGAGAAGUCCUAGCAAGACAGAACUAGACACAGAUAGGUGGCCAAAGCACAGGGGAGCUGUGGGUCACUUCAGUUAAGGCACACAGACACAAGGCUGUCACACACACACUUUGGGAAAAUAUCAAUAAUCCUACAGGCUCCAUCAAACUUUUAUGUAGGAGACGUUCCACAAGUAUGAAGGAGCUGAGAAA
rnacentral:lncRNA from 12 species